UUGUAUUUCUUCCUAGGCUCAAGUGUGUGAUUGUGAGAUCAUCUCGAAAUCCUUUUAACAGUUCAGGAACAACGUGAUGUAAAUAUGAGACGGGCCCUCGUCCUUCGUGCACUUCCUGUGUACCUGCGUGAAGAUGCCUCCAAGUUUUUCAGGACCUGUAAUUCAGCAGAUGGUCCAGACCUCACUGACACUCCGGUGGCUCUCCUGACAGUUGUCACUGAUGAUACUACUGAUGCGGCCCUCUUCAGCCCUGAGAGCAUCUGUAUUGUCGUGGAAGAUGAAAUACUUGUGAGUGGUCCCACAAACCUGGCUGACUCAUUUCUCCUGCUCUUUGGGUAUGUCUAUGCACUAGACCUACAGUACCCAAAGAAUCUUGAGCUUACAUUCACAUUUAUCCAAAAAGUUGUGAUGUGUCUUGAGGACAACAAACCACUGAAAGGCCGUCUACUGACACUGAAGAAUGAUUUGUUCAAUGAGUGAAUCACUCAGAAUGGACUAUUUGUUGAGCUGAGUAUUGAGGAUGUUUUUAGUUUUUUUCCCCUCUUUACAAAUGUAAUAAUUUGCCUCUUCUACCUCAUGUUUAAUAUGUUACACUGUUUGCCUCUUCUACCUCAGAUUUAAUACAUUGAUUGUUAAUAGAUAAAUAUCACAACAUUGACGUAUUGCCAAGCCCAAGUUUUUGUACUGUACUUGUGGGAAACGACUGUUGAAUUCAUGCACUAUACAUGUUUAAUGUUGUGUGACCUAAUGCUUACCUUGAUGUUGCCAGUUGAAGUACGGCACAGUAGAAACCAGUACUUUUAUUUGAAUGUUUUAUUUAAAAAAGUGAGUUGCAGCCUUCAAGGUACAGUAAGUGCCAAAACGUUUUAAAUGGCUCCACAUUCUAAUAGUUGUCAUUGCUGUUGAGGAUGGAUUAUAAUUAGAAUCUUAUUGAAUUUUAUCAUGAAGCCUUUGUGAGUUUUUAUCAUAAUGUUUACUGAAUAGUGUGAUAUGGAGACCCAAAAUACUGAAUCUACCCUCUGUAGCAAUGACCACUCUCAGAAUAUGGAACUAUUAACACUUAAUGUACUU